GAUGAACGCUGGCGGCGUGCCUAAUACAUGCAAGUCGAGCGAACAGAUGAGGAGCUUGCUCCUCUGACGUUAGCGGCGGACGGGUGAGUAACACGUGGAUAACCUACCUAUAAGACUGGGAUAACUUCGGGAAACCGGAGCUAAUACCGGAUAAUAUAUUGAACCGCAUGGUUCAAUAGUGAAAGACGGUUUUGCUGUCACUUAUAGAUGGAUCCGCGCCGCAUUAGCUAGUUGGUAAGGUAACGGCUUACCAAGGCGACGAUGCGUAGCCGACCUGAGAGGGUGAUCGCCCACACUGGAACUGAGACACGGUCCAGACUCCUACGGGAGGCAGCAGUAGGGAAUCUUCCGCAAUGGGCGAAAGCCUGACGGAGCAACGCCGCGUGAGUGAUGAAGGUCUUCGGAUCGUAAAACUCUGUUAUUAGGGAAGAACAAAUGUGUAAGUAACUAUGCACGUCUUGACGGUACCUAAUCAGAAAGCCACGGCUAACUACGUG
rnacentral:rRNA from 1 species